rnacentral:lncRNA from 1 species
CGAUAAUAACAUUACGACAAAAACUGCGAUGAGAACAAUUUAUGAGCGCGUAAUUAUUGUAGACAACGACGAAUUUGUUAGCGAACUUUUUAAUGACAAAAAAUAAUCCAAACGGCAAUAAACUACGUACAUAUAGACAAUACAAAGAAAAAGUAGAAACAGAAAAAUAUUUGAAACUUCAGUUGCCGAGAUCGGUCCAACGAGUUGUUGCCCUGUUCCGAAGUGGAUCGCUUCCGUUGGCAAUCGAGACAGGCCGAUACGCACGACCGCAAAUACCAGUUAAUGAAAGAAGUUGUAAAUUCUGUCCGGAUGACGUCUUAGAAAACGAGAAACAUUUUUUAAUGAACUGCACUAUGUAUGAUGACUUAAGAUAUAAUUUAUUUUCUCGAGCCAAAAAACUUUAUAGAAAACUUUGAUACUCUUGAUAUUGACAGUCAAUUUAUCAGUCUUAUGAAAUGUAAAGAAAUACAAUCCUCAUUAUCAUACGC